rnacentral:snoRNA from 1 species
GAAGCAGAUGACGAGAAGCAAGACAGGGACAUCAGCAUUCCUCUCAUUGGAGGAUGAUGACUAAGUCUACAUGGGAAUCUCUCUGAUGCUCA